GAUGAACGCUGGCGGCGUGCCUAAUACAUGCAAGUCGAGCGAACAGAUAAGGAGCUUGCUCCUUUGACGUUAGCGGCGGACGGGUGAGUAACACGUGGGUAACCUACCUAUAAGACUGGAAUAACUCCGGGAAACCGGGGCUAAUGCCGGAUAACAUUUAGAACCGCAUGGUUCUAAAGUGAAAGAUGGUUUUGCUAUCACUUAUAGAUGGACCCGCGCCGUAUUAGCUAGUUGGUAAGGUAACGGCUUACCAAGGCAACGAUACGUAGCCGACCUGAGAGGGAGAGAGGCCACACUGGAAUGAAGACACGGUCCAGAACAAUACGGGAGGCAGAAGUAGGGAUAUUGCGGAAAGGGGGGAAGGCGUGAAGAAGCAACCCGGCGGGGUGGAGAAGGGUUUCGGGUUGUUAAAACCGUUUGAUGGGGAAAAAAAAAAAGAGGAAGAAACUGCGCACGUCUGGAGGGAACCAAAGAAGAAGGACAGGGUAAAUUAGGG
rnacentral:rRNA from 1 species